rnacentral:rRNA from 1 species
AUUGAACGCUGGCGGCAUGCCUUACACAUGCAAGUCGAACGGCAGCACGGGAGCAAUCCUGGUGGCGAGUGGCGAACGGGUGAGUAAAGUAUCGGAACGUGCCCAGUCGUGGGGGAUAACGUAGCGUAAGUUACGCUAAUACCGCAUACGAUCUAUGGAUGAAAGCGGGGGAUCGCAAGACCUCGCGCGAUUGGAGCGGCCGAUAUCAGAUUAGGUAGUUGGUGGGGUAAAGGCCCACCAAGCCGACGAUCUGUAGCUGGCCUGAGAGGACGGCCAGCCACACUAGGGCUGAGACACGGCCCAGACUCCUACGAGAGGCAGCAGUGGGGAAUUUUGGACAAUGGGCGAAAGCCUGAUCCAGCCAUGCCGCGUGCAGGAUGAAGGCCUUCGGGUUGUAAACUGCUUUUGUACGGAACGAAAAGGACUGCCCUAAUACGGUGGUCCCAUGACGGUACCGUAAGAAUAAGCACCGGCUAACUACGUGCCAGCAGCCGCAGUAAUAC